AAUCUUACCAGGUCCGGACACACUGAGGAUUGACAGGAAGUAUCGUCUUUUGAAUUCUUUAAGGAUAUGUCGUUUUUAAUGACAUCUUUUAGAUGGAUGAUUCGUGUAAAUAUGCUAGUUCUUUCAUGAUUAUGUGAUAGGUGGUGCAUGGCCGUUCUUAGUUCGUGGAGUGAUCUGUCUGCUUAAUUGCGUUUCACUAAGGCCCCAAAGUUAGCAAAUUAUCAAUCGUUACAGAGUCGACCCCUCACCUUUGAGUGCGCGUCCUAACUUGUAGUACAUGGUGUAAAUGGAUUUGUUUUGGGUACCCAGAAAGCAACGAACGUGACCGCAACGUCUUGUUGUCUCUCUUUGACAGUUAUGGGUUAUCCCAGUCAUGUGUUUAUACUUUUAUGUGUAAAUACGUACGACACAGAGACUAGAUACCAAACUAGGCGUACCGCUGUAUCAUUUCUUUAAACCAGAGGAAGGUUGCGGCAAUAACAG
rnacentral:rRNA from 1 species